UGGGGGUGCCUCGGGAUGGCGAUGGCGUGUGGGGAAAUCCCGCUGGGAAAAGCCAGUGUCCAUAAAGGAGACAGAGGAGUCCUGCAGCUUUAUUCGGGUGAAGGGAGCGGGGCCACUGGGGCACAUCCCCGCGGGGUUUUCUCUCUCGAGGUUUCGGAGGGCGCAGCCUCCCUUUAUCCCAAACUCCCGGCCGCUCGUUGCCCUCUUCCUUCCCCCGCUGGCCCAGGUACCGGGAAGGUGCAGCCUUCCCGACCCGCCUGCCUCACAUCCCCCCUUGAACACGUUAUUUACCCCCAAAGUUUAGGAACUCAGGCUCGUGCAGCCCCAUUUGGCUGUUUCAGGAGUCAAACUGCCCGGGCUCUGUAACAAAUCUGCUGCUUGAAGUUUAUAAUACUGAGAAAUUAAGCCCCAUUUCAAAGCCGUUCACAACCAUCCCCUCACCCAUGGAAUUGCUUGUAAAGACAUCAGCACACAUCUUCCCUACCAGGAAUGGGGUUGGGGAUGAAAAUGGGAAUGGGGACAGGGUGUAGGGAUGGGGAUGAUGCUGGAGAUGAGGAUGUAGUGUGGGAACAGGGAUGGGUGCAGGGUUGGGAUUAAAUACCCGAGACGGUAUUUUUUGUUUGGACUUAGAUGUUUAUUAGCUUUUAUCUAUGUUACAAUCUCACAGACUGUGAGUUCUACAGCACUUCACUCUGACAAACUAAAAAUGGAGUCUUAUCUCUUUCUCUACAAGGUUUUUUUAAAGAUAUACUGUCUAAUUAAGAAAUGACACUUAAAUUAUUUUGACUUUUAACCUAACAACUAAUUACCCAUGGCUUGUAAUGUGGAUUUUAUCUAAUACCACCUAAACCUAUGAAGAAGAAGGUGAAUAAGAAGGAUUGGUCUCUGUCCUAAAAUUUUUAUCUGCUUUAUAUAUAUUACUAUAUUCUAAAACCUUUAAGUUUUCUACUAUGUGAUAUUACACACUUCUACUCAAACUAUACACUUAUAAUCUCAGUUUUAUCAUUCAAUUUUGGAAGUCUUCUUUACAGCCUCAAGUCAAUGCAGUGUUCUCUCGGGGGUCAGUGCCUGUCAGCACAGAAAGUCUGAAAUUCUCAGUAACCAUGGUUCCAACAGGGGUGGGACUGGAUAACCUUUAAUAAUCUUCCCAAACCCAAACCAGUCUGUGUUUCGCAUUGCAGGUGUUGCAGCAGUAGCACAACACAAACUGCUCUCACAGGACAUUCAUCUGAAAAAAACAGCAGAAUAAAAAGAGUAAACAAGAAAUCAUUCCUGAACAAGGGAGCUCUGAACUCAAAAACCAUGAUGUGGAGCUGCUAUCUGAGCUUCCACUCCCCACGAGCACAUCCCACUGCUGCAGGUCUGCCUUGCUUCACAGUCUGACCAUCCCUGCUGAGGGUUGCUACUUUGAACACAUUCCACUAGCCCAGGUUGCUCCAAGCCCUGUCCAGCCUGGCUUUGAACACUUCCAGUUUGAUUGCGGAGUCUAAACAUCUAUAAGGAAAAAAAAUAUUUUCAUCUGCACACCAGCAAUGAUCUACCCAGUGGCGCAGGAGAGAAACAAAAAGCUGAUUUUUCCUUUGCCACAACCUCAGCUGUAAGAAUGUGAACAAUGAGGCACAGAGCACCACUGAAGUUCCAAAGAAAACAAGUUUACAUGCAGACAGGCUUGAGCCAGAUAAGCUGACACAAUCUGUACCCCACAUGAGAAGCUUUGCCAGGGAAUUUGAAGCCAAUCUUUGGUUCCAUUUUUAAGCAGAAAAUCCUUAUGUCAAAGAAAAAAAACUGUAGAGAAAAGCAUGGACUGAGUAUUUGGGGCAAAAGACAUAAAAAUAAACCGAAAUACUGGA